GACGAACGCUGGCGGCGUGCCUAAUACAUGCAAGUAGAACGCACAGUUUAUACCGUAGCUUGCUACACCAUAGACUGUGAGUUGCGAACGGGUGAGUAACGCGUAGGUAACCUGCCUGGUAGCGGGGGAUAACUAUUGGAAACGAUAGCUAAUACCGCAUAAUAUUAAUUAUUGCAUGAUAAUUAAUUGAAAGGUGCAAUUGCACCACUACCAGAUGGACCUGCGUUGUAUUAGCUAGUAGGUGAGGUAACGGCUCACCUAGGCGACGAUACAUAGCCGACCUGGGAGGGUGAUCGGCCCACCUGGGACUGGGACACGGCCCAGACUCCUACGGGAGGCAGCAGUAGGGAAUCUUCGGCAAUGGACGAAAGUCUGACCGGGCAACGCCGCGUGAGUGAAGAAGGUUUUCGGAUCGUAAAGCUCUGUUGUAAGAGAAGAACGGGUGUGAGAGUGGAAAGUUCACACUGUGACGGUAUCUUACCAGAAAGGGACGGCUAACUACGUG
rnacentral:rRNA from 1 species